rnacentral:rRNA from 1 species
UAACACAUGCAAGUCGAGGGGCAGCAUUUUAGUUUGCUUGCAAACUGAAGAUGGCGACCGGCGCACGGGUGAGUAACACGUAUCCAACCUGCCGAUAACUCCGGAAUAGCCUUUCGAAAGAAAGAUUAAUACCGGAUAGCAUACGAAUAUCGCAUGAUAUUUUUAUUAAAGAAUUUCGGUUAUCGAUGGGGAUGCGUUCCAUUAGUUUGUUGGCGGGGUAACGGCCCACCAAGACUACGAUGGAUAGGGGUUCUGAGAGGAAGGUCCCCCACAUUGGAACUGAGACACGGUCCAAACUCCUACGGGAGGCAGCAGUGAGGAAUAUUGGUCAAUGGGCGAGAGCCUGAACCAGCCAAGUAGCGUGAAGGAUGAAGGCUCUAUGGGUCGUAAACUUCUUUUAUAUGGGAAUAAAGUUUUCCACGUGUGGAAUUUUGUAUGUACCAUAUGAAUAAGGAUCGGCUAACUCCGUGCCAGCAGCCGCGGUAAUACGGAGGAUCCGAGCGUUAUCCGGAUUUAUUGGGUUUAAAGGGAGCGUAGGUGGAUUGUUAAGUCAGUUGUGAAAGUUUGCGGCUCAACCGUAAAAUUGCAGUUGAAACU